AAAUAGCUUUGCUGCUUGUGGCUUUCAAAUGAUCUUGGAUCAAAUUGUUUUUCAAGGGAGUCUUUAUACAACAGCGUUGCUGAUUCGUUCAGAAUGCCGUUGUGCGGACACCCACCUGGAUUUUAGCCGGGAUUCAUAUUGAGAGCUGUGGUAGCAAGGCUUUUUU
rnacentral:other from 1 species